rnacentral:rRNA from 1 species
GGUGAACGCUGGCGGCGUGCCUAAGACAUGCAAGUCGAGCGGGGCAGGUUUAUACCUGUUCAGCGGCGGACGGGUGAGUAACGCGUGGGUGACCUACCCGGAAGAGGCGGACAACCUGGGGAAACCCAGGCUAAUCCGCCAUGUGGUCCUGUCCUGUGGGGCAGGACUAAAGGGUGGAUAGCCCGCUUCCGGAUGGGCCCGCGUCCCAUCAGCUAGUUGGUGGGGUAAAGGCCCACCAAGGCGACGACGGGUAGCCGGUCUGAGAGGAUGGCCGGCCACAGGGGCACUGAGACACGGGCCCCACUCCUACGGGAGGCAGGAGGUAGGAAUCUUCCGCAAUGGGCGCAAGCCUGACGGAGCGACGCCGCUUGGAGGAGGAAGCCCUUCGGGGUGUAAACUCCUGAACUGGGGACGAAAGCCCCGUGUAGGGGGAUGACGGUACCCAGGUAAUAGCGCCGGCCAACUCCGUG